CCGUGCCCAAGAGAUCGGGAUAACACCUGGAAACAGAUGCUAAUACCGGAUAACAACAGAUGAUGCCUAUCAACUGUUUAAAAGAUGGUUCUGCUAUCACUCUUGGAUGGACCUGCGGUGCAUUAGCUAGUUGGUAGGGCAACGGCCUACCAAGGCGAUGAUGCAUAGCCGAGUUGAGAGACUGAUCGGCCACAUUGGGACUGAGACACGGCCCAAACUCCUACGGGAGGCAGCAGCU
rnacentral:rRNA from 1 species